AGGGCCAGGAUAGGAAAAAAAAUCAGCCAGGGACAGAGAGCGUAGAGAGUGUAGGGAUUUUUAAUCUCAAUGUCACCCGAGAUAUAGACCCGGACCUGGACUGCACCGGCGGACCGCGUGUGAAUCCCCCUUCUCCUUCCCCGUAUGACAACGCCCCUGAAGCCGCCUCAUCGGACAAUCUCUACCCUGACCUCGAAGAAGAGGAGAAAGCCCCCGCUCGCAGCGCGAGAGAAGAUAGGCCUGCAACUCGUAGCCAGGGGAAAGCUCCACAGCAGGCGACGGCCACACCGACCAAGCGGGAACCCGUCGCCAGCCGCCAGCCGCUUGAGGAACCAGGGAAUGGCGUUCUCCCCAACUCCUCAACAUGGGGACGUGAUGGAUGGACAAUUCCCCAUGAUCGAAGUACUGAACCCCCAGGAUGACAGUCCAGCAUACGUUUUCCGUGCAUGGAGACCCAGUGACAUUAAGGACAUAGCGGAAUGGCUCCCAGACCCAUCUGUAGUCGGGGGGGCUGCCUCCGCCACAGCCCUUCAAGAGUUGGUCCAACAACUCAAGGCCUCCAUCAGCGAAGUUCGCCAACUCUGAGCGUACAGACUGACCCUAAGGUGGGGUCGGAUCCAAGGCGACAUGCCCGGGAGGGACGAAGCUGAUUUAAUGUUCAAUUGGGAUCAAGGGUCCGUGUACCACCGGCUGGUAGAGGGACUGUGUGAACGGGCCAGGAGGGCGUUCCCCAUGGUUAGAGAUUGGACCGCUAUUCGAAAAAUCAAACAAAUAGAAGGCGAGACGGUGGCUGACUUGAUGGACCGCGUUGAAAAGGUGUUCAAGAUCCACGGGGGAGUGCCUGUACCAACCGACCAAGUGGUCCAGACUCCGUACGAAGAAAAUCUCACCGCGGCCUUCCUGGAUGCGUUGGCCGACAAAAUAUCGGAAUUCAUAGAGACACACUGCAUUGGGUGGCGUACCGCCAGACUUGAUUUGAUUAUAAGUCACGCGACCCACGCAGAAAACCUCUUCAUGAAGAAAGAAAAGCUCAGGAACAAUAGAGACAAAGAGAUAACCAAGAAGCUUCACCUCGCCCAACUGGAGGCCCUGGAGGAUCCUAAGCCCACCCGUCCUGACAAAGACCAAAGAACCGACCGGCCAGAAGGGAGAAAGUCCCGUGGAUUAAUCAACCGGGACUGUUUGUAUUGUGGCUCCAAGGAUCAUUGGUUAAAAGAUUGUCCCAUUAGAAAUGAGGAAAACGAUGAAGCGGACGACUGGGAAUAAUCAUCCCAGAGGCAGAGGUGAAAGGGGGCAUUCGCAUUGACGGGACGCAGGAGCAGGCCAGGUCCAAGGAGGAGGUAUGAGCACCAUAACACAAACACAACGCACACAAGCACCACAUCCAAAUGAUUGUUGUAUGGUUUUCACCAGCCUUACGCGACCUAAUCAGCUACAUUUAAUAUUAUAUACAAUCUAUCACAACCAGUUUAAUGGUCAACCAUAUCACACAGCCAUGACAUGACCCUGACCGACCCCGACUGACCCCCGACUGACAACGUGACGGGGACAACAGAAGUGUGUUGCCUAAUAUUGAAAAUGCAGAUUUUUAUAUUAUGAUAUUUUGUUAAUGUUUUAUGGCCAAAAUGGCAACAAGGUGAAUUGACGAACGUAUGAGAGAGAUUGGAAGAAGUAUGUGUUAUGGAAGGAGAAGAGAUAGAUGAGAACGGAAGGCAAGACAAGAUAAGGAAAGGGGUGGGGAGAAAGAUAACCCAUCUGCAUCAAGUUUUGUUCAAAUAGAUCCGGACCUGGACAACGCUCCUCCUUCUCCUGCUUUCAGCCCGACCAGUGGCCCAAUCCAGUGCUAAUACCCCACGUCACGACUCCUCUACAUCUGACUUUAUGAAGUUACAGACCAUGGGAGGCCCACCUGAAGAGCUACGGAACGGUCUGCUGGACGACACAAGGAGACAGUCCAGCAGGACCAACAGCACCAGAGUGGUGGCCUCCAUGGUGCCUGUGUAGCCACGAGGAAGUGGCCUGAACAAAGAGACAAAGGAGGGUCUCAGAGACGGGAGAGACGUGGGGACAGGCACUUCAAAGGACAGCCCGUGAUGCGGAUGAGAGGCAGGAAGCAGAGAGAGAGGUGGAGGCGUGUCCAGGCGGAUGGAGAGAAGAGCAGUGUCCCUCAGAGACAUCAUGAAGGACAAUGGGAAAGAGAAGAAGAAUACCGUUUAAAUGUUGGGUUAUACUGUGUGUUAUUAAUACUGACUGGAUUGACAAUUAAUGUUUAGAGUAGUAAACAUUAAGUGCUUGCCAACUACUCAUGUGUUUGUAUCAUGGAAGCAGCAUUAAGGACACAUCAAAUACGAAGAAUAUUUUUUUAGUUUUUAUGUUUUUAAAAGGUAGCCUUGUUUCUUUGUUUUAGUUAUUUUUAUUUUCGUUUUUAUGACUUUUUUUGAAUAUAUGUUUAUGGGGAUAAUUAUCAAAAGGGGGGAUUCCCAAAGAAAUUAUCCAGUGACAAUGGUUCACAUUUGGUGAACCAAGUCAUCCAACAGAAUUGACCCACGCAACCAUUGUGCGUACCACCCUCGGAGUGGUGGGACAGUAGAGAGGGAGAGUGGUCCCGUAGAGAACAACGUCUACGGGACAACAAGCCAAGGCAACUGCAGAUACAGCCCAAGGCAGGGCGACUCCACGAUACAUGGAUUACUAUCAGAGACGUGCCUGGAAUUCACCAAGGUGGUUGGAAUCAUUCCAAGUCCUGUGGAUCACAGCAAGGUAGCUAAGAGUGCUACCCAGACCCACGCCAGCCACUGCAAGCGGGCACCAUCACCAACAACAAAGGUCACUUCCGACCCAACCCCCCUGGCCGUCACCCCACACUGAAACCAGGGUGAAGUGCAAGUAACUCACCCUUACACACACAAUCACGUCAGAACCAGGCCCAAAAGACUGUCUCUGGCCUGGGGAGAGAUGGGUCCAGAAUCGACAUCAUUCAGAAUGGACGCCAGCCCUGGACCACUAUCUGAUGGGAUUGAUAGUGUGAUGGAAGUUUAAUUGUAUUUUUCCAGGUGAUGUUAGGUGAUUUUAUGCUACCUUCUGUAAAAGCGAACGGUGGUAUAAAUAUCUGUACUUGGAGGCCAUGGUUGGACAUAGUAGAUUAUGAACAUAUGCAUGUUUUGAUUAAGUGAUCAUUUUAAUCCUAAAGGUUGCAUCAUUUUGUGAUUAUAAAUAAUCAAAGGGGGGAUUGUGAUGGAAAAUCUACAUGUUGUAUUGUUUUGGUCUAUAUGAAUUUAAGUUUUGUUGCUAUUCUGUGUAAUUUUAUAUAGUGUCUGCCUUCUGCUCUCCUUUUGGGUCAUUUAAAGUGUGAACGUUC